GACGAACGCUGGCGGCGUGCUUAACACAUGCAAGUCGAACGGAGUGGCGAACGGGUGAGUAACACGUGGGUGACCUGCCCUGCACUUCGGGGGAAGCCUGGGAAACUGGGUCUAAUACCGGAGAGUGUGGGAUGGGCCCGCGGCUAAUCAGCUUGUUGGGGGGGUAAUGGCCUACCGAGGCGGGGACGGGUAGCCGGCCUGGGAGGGUGGACGGCCACCAUGGGACUGCGGGACGGACCAGACGGCUAUGGGGGGCAGCAGUGGGGAAUAUUGCACAAUGGUGGGACGCCUGAUGCAGCGACGCCGCAUGGGUGAUGACGGCCUUCGGGUUGUAAACUCCUUUCACCAUCGACGCGGUAGCUGGAGAAGAAGCACCGGCUAACUACGUGCCAGCAGCCGCGGUAAUUC
rnacentral:rRNA from 1 species